rnacentral:lncRNA from 1 species
UCUUUGUCCCAUGGGCACAGCGGGAUGGGCACAGCACUGGGAUCCUGCAUCCCACCAGCAUCCUGCAUCCCACCAGGUGCUGGGGGCCCCCAUGGCUGUGCCAUCGUGGUGACGGUGCCCGUCUGACCCUUCAGAGCCCCCCCCCCCCCCAGGUGGUAAUUGCUCCAGCAGCCCCGAGUUGGUAUUUGCCCCGACGCCUCCCUGCAAACCUGCUGCAGCCGGUCCCAGCCCCGCCUGCCUGCCCUUCCUCACUGGGAGGAGGAGGAGGAGGAGACGGCGGCUGAGGGCCAGGUCUGGAAGGAGCAAGGAGCGUGCGUGGGAGCCGGGCGAGCGCGGGGCUGCGGCACAGCGGGACGGGACGGGACGGGACAGGACGGGACGGGACGGGAGGGCUCAGCUCUCCCCACCACCAGCGUGCCGCGCUCCUCCUUCAUGUCGGGGAAGCUGAAGAAGAGCAGGAAGGCGGCGCUGGGGGAGAAGCAGUGGCAGAGCCUGGAGGAGAGGGGCAGCGCGGGCACCCAGCCGGGGUCGCACCCCGCACUCACCAGGUCCAAAACCUACGACCCUUCCUGUAAGGAGACGGAGGAGGCUGAAGGGGCUGGAGGCCGG